rnacentral:rRNA from 1 species
CAAUAGCGUAUAUUAAAGCUGUUGCGGUUAAAAAGCUCGUAGUUGGAUUUCUGUCAAGGACAACUGGUCCGCCCUCCGGGUGAGCACAUAGUUUGGUCUUGACAUCUUGCUGGAAGCUGUUGCUGCACUUGGCUGUGUGGCGCAGUGUUCAGCACUUUCACUUUGAGGAAAUUGGAGUGUUUCAAGCAGGCACAUGCCUUUGGACACAGUAGCAUGGAAUAAUUAGAUUGAGCUUUUGCUCCAAUUUGUCGGUUUCUGGAGCUGAGGUGAGUAUUAAUGGGGAUUGUUGGGGGCAUCCGAAUUUAGCCGUCAGAGGUGAAAUUCUUGGAUCUGCUAAAGACGGACAACUGCGAAAGCGUUUGCCCAGGAUGUUUUCAUUGA